GCAUGCCCUUCCCCGCGCCAAUUCCUUGACAACGACGCAGGCUUGCGCAUCUGACUGUUGCUAUGACUCUGUUGUCAUGACAACCGGGAGUUUUCCGUGGGCUUUCCGGACGCAGUUGAACUACGUUUCCCAGGGGUCCCAGCGCGACUCUCGCGGGCCCUCGCGGUGGGGCCCAGCCCUCAGCGCCCAGGCCGCCGGGAAGCGAGGGAGGGAGGCUCCGCAGGGCGUGUGGAAAGUGGCUUUCUGCGUGGACCUGGAACCCCGCUCUUCUAGGCGGGGACCCUCGGGGUGUCCAGCGAGGCCGGCAGCCCGCGUCCCCUCUCCACCCGAGCCGCGGUCGGAAAGGCGUGAAACAGCACACUUCCGGCGGGCCCACGCUGCGUAAGGAAGUCCGCGAGCCCGGUCCUUUGCCGAGUCCGGGCUCCUGGAGAGGUCUGAUUGGGCCCGGCGGCGCACACCUGUAAUCCAGCAGCCGGGGCGGCUGAGGGCAGGGGGAUCGCCAAGGGUUCAAGACCAGCCUGAGCUACAUAGUGAGGUCCUGUCUCAGAACACCAAACAAACGAACAAAGAACCAAAGUUCAAGUCCAGCUUGGACAGCUUACUACUUAAAUUCUCAGCUUCCUCUCACAAGGACGCUUGCCAGGCAUGGUGGUGGAUACCUGUAAUCCUAGCAUUGGGAGGCUGAGGCAGGAGGAGCACAAGUUGGAAGCCAGCCUCAGCUACAUACACAGAUAUGCUGGGCCCUCAUUCUACAGUCCUCCUCCUUGACACUUGUCAUCAGCAGGUGUCCCGAGGCCUGGCCAGCUUCCCCCUGCCCCACACUUGUGAUGAGUAAACACUGGACAUCCUGGGAGUCCUUUCUCUUUGCUGCCCGGAGCAGCUUGGAUCAGCCUGAGACUCAGUGUCUCUCAAGUCUCUGUCUGUGUGUUUAUUCUAAUUCCCACUUAGCUAUCUUGAGGUCAUUGGACUGGGUUGCAGGAGGCCAGUAGCACUGCAGGGCUAACCCGAUACACUUGGAUUAUUCCGGAUGAUCCACUGUCAAGAUGCCUACAUCUGCAAAGAACCCUUCGCUAAAUAAAUAAAGUCUCAUACAUUCUGGAAUGUGUCUUUUUUCUUCUUUUUUGGAGACAGGGUCUUGCUGCACAGUUGGCUUCAUAUUUGUGAUCCUCCUGCCUCAGCCUGUCAAGUGCUGAGAUUACAGGUGUGUGGUGCCACCACAUCUAGCCAAGAAUGUAUCUUUGUUGUGGGACCUACCUGCUUCAUCCCGGGGUUCCCCCCCCAGCCACAGAUGGCACGGAUCAGUGGCUGUCCUUGCCAUGGCCUGUGUGGCUGAAGAGCCCACAGAGGGAGAAUGGUGGGGGAUGAAGAAAAGACAGAAAAAGCUGAGGCCAGGUGGAGCCUUUCUCCUGAUGGGAGAACAGGGCUGCCUGGUAACAGCAGCACUUGUAUUUAUAGUGGUAGGUAAGGGAAGUGCAAGGGGAGGUGAAGGAGCUGGUUUGGAACUGGAACAGGGAGAGGGGUUAAUCUGCAGGGCUUCACCCUUGAUAGUUUCAUGGGGAAGGGAUGGGCAGGAAGCAUGUCCUCUUCUCGGUUGGGCCUUGUUCCACCAGGCCAUCUCGUCACCUGUUCUCUCACCGGGCCCUUCCUCUGUGGGGCGGAAUGAACAAGAUGCAUGUUCCUCAUUCCACACCGGUUCCUGCUUCAUCUGCAGGAGGAGGCGAGUUAGGCCCAGCCAUAGUGAUCUACAGCCCAGUGUUCCCAGCAUGUCCUGGUGGUCAGUCUGCCCCUGAAGUCCUCCACCCUAGGGGGUUGUCAGGCUUAAGAGUCCUGGAGGUGCCAGAAGUUGUGGUGGGCACAGGCCCAGGGCUCUGCUCUUUUUUCAUCAUGCACACUGGAGCAUGAGAACAGCAGCUCCACCUGGCACUGCAGCCUGGUGUAUGGGAGACCAGGACUCUAGCUUGGAGCUGGAGCUCAGCAGCAACAGGACAGAAGCCGGAGCUGCAGCCCUGCUCUUAAGAGGGGAUAGACGCCUCUGGAGAUCCAGGAGUGUGGGAACCCACCGGCUUCCUGCAGGGUUUGUCUUGGAGGCAAAGUGAGGACUCUGGAGACCUUAGUGCCCAGAGGAGAGGCUGCCUGCCCCAGAUCCUACCCGACAUGGAACCUGGCC
ensembl:lncRNA